ensembl:lncRNA
CUCUCUUUGUGGCUCCCUCCCCCCAGCCUUGCCUGCCCUCAGGGCUUAGCAUCGGUCUGGUAGCCAGAGCCUUGCCUAACAUGAAACUGGCACAAAUGAAAAGGCGGAUAAAUAAACGUCCAGGAAUCUUGUUUGUCAUAUUUAAUCCAUCACGUUUCCCAAACAGCCUGGUCAAAAAAUUCUGCAGCAGUGUUUACAUCAUCCUGAUUGAAAGCUACAUCCGUGCAUAUAAAUACCAUUCCUGGAUAUAGCUCCAGUUUCACACGGAGGCAGCUAUCAGCCUUGUCUGCCCUCACCACUGAAAGAAGAAAAAAAAAUGUUUGAAUUUCUUCAUCCCCCCAUUCCUGCCCAAUCCAGCACUCGCACAUUCAUUUUUUUUUCCCCUCCUCUUCCUUAAGUAUCCCAGUGAGCAUUGCCCAAUGCUGUGAUUUCUGGGUAUGCUCAGUGAGCGAUGGGCAAGUGGAAUUCAUUAGACCACGGGGAAAUGGUUAAUCAGUGCGCUAAUGAAAGUGGCACAACACAAGCAUUGAAACAUGCAACCUGGCAGGGCUUGGUGUCAUCACAUGCCAUACACCUGGCACUUGGCUGGGAGCAACAACCAUGUCCCUAGCUGGGAAAGCAAACCAGGAGCACAGGUCAAACCAAUGCAAAUGAAUGAGAGAUAUUUCCCACUUUAAUGACCAGGAGGCAAAACUGGAAGAGGAAAGAAGCAGUUCCACCAUUUGACCAAGGAGAGAGACAGUUGUUGAUCCUACAUCAAGACAAACAAUGGCAAAGUGAUAACGAUGAUGAAGCUCAGAAAGGAACACAGAGAGUCCCAAACCUCCCCAUGCCAUGAUCCACAAAACAUUUCCCAACAGAAUGAACAGAGAAGGGAAAAAUCAAAAAGGAAAAAGAUGGAAAGAAAAAGAAUUCCAACCUGCCUGGGAUAAGAUGGUACAUCUUGUCACAAACAGAGUGUUUAACUUACGGCUUCUUUUGUUAAAAGAAAACCAAUCAAAUCUGUCUGUUUCCAUUCCAACCUCCUUCCCUCCACUUCAGCUUAUUUUUCCUGUGGCCAAAAUUGUUCAUCGUGCUGGAUGCAAAUCAUCCCCUGCAAAUUGCAUUUUUCCAUGGUAAAUGUUUUCACCAGAGAAUGUCCCGCUAUGCUGCCUCCAGAGGUUUUCAUCCCAUUUGGACACACAUAAUGGCGUGAAACACUUUGCUCACUCAGCUCCAUUUGCAGAGUGAACCCAACGUUGCAAUGUACUGUUUGUACGUUAAUGCAUUGCAAUGACACUGGCACACUUAUUUGGUGGAAAUGGGCACAAUAUUUGAUUGCACACUUGGCAGCACUGUCCAGAGGUUGGACUUUGACUUCUAGUCUGUCUGUCUCCAGUUUCUUUGCAAAGGCUUUGAAAAACUGGGCUGUGACCCAGCCAUCCCCUUAGGUUUGGGCUUGUUUCUGAGUUCUUAUAGUUGAAAACAUCCAGCUGCAAAAGGAAAUAGCACCUGCUUUAUUCAGCUUAGCAGCACAGACAUUUCCCAGGAGCCUCCUUGUGCCCCUUGGAAUAAAAAUAAGGUUGUCAGAUGAUGCACCACAGAUAAAUCAGCAUUGUGACUGCCAGAAAAUACCCACCUCUCUAUUUUUAUAGGUGUCAUUAGCAUCCCUGCUUCUGAAAUUAGGACCUUACAGAGACAUAGGACACUGCUUUCUCAAAUAACAGCAAACCAUAUAACUUUAUAAGAAGUUUUUAAUCCCAGUAAAAGAAGCGAGACCGUAAACCCAUUUUUACCCUUCCUCCUUCACCUCUUGCCUACUCAAAAGCAGGAGCUGCUUCUGGCCUCCAGAUGUCCAACCCACAAGCUCUUCCCUUUUGCUAUUUUUGCUGCACGCUUUGAUCUUUUGCAAAUGCUGCCUGGGGGGGAGUAGGGGCUGGGGCUGUUGAUGCUGCACCCUGGGCUGCUCCAUCCAUGCCCCAGCCAAGCUCCUCAUCUUCCUCUGCCCUUGCUGCAAAGGGAGAACGUCUGACUAAUGCAAGAAAGAAUGGCUGGAUCCCAUUUUAUUUUUUGAGGGAGCUACCUUAGAGAUGGGAAAGUGAAGUACCCAUUGAAGUACCAACUGAAGUAAAGGGAUAUUCAGAGUAAGAAGUGACUUUUGUGAUGUUUCCAUAGGGCAAAGUAAAAUGUGAG